rnacentral:rRNA from 1 species
AUUGAACGCUGGCGGCAGGCCUAACACAUGCAAGUCGCGCGAGCGGCGGACGGGUGAGUAAUGUAUGGGGACUGCCUGAUAGAGGGGGAUAACUGCUGGCACCGGUAGCUACUACCGCAUACUAUCGGAUAACCCAUAUGGGAUUAGCUAUUUGUUUAGUUAAUGGCUCACCAAGGCGACGAUCCCUAGCUGGUCUGAGAGGAUGAUCAGCCACACUGGGACUGAGACACGGCCCAGACGCCUACGGAGGCAGCAGUGGGGAAUAUUGCACAAUGGGCGAAAGCCUGAUGCAGCCAUGCCGCGGGUAUGAAGAAGGCCCUAGGGUUGUAAAGUACUUUCUGUCGGGAGGCGUUACCGACAGAAGAAGCACCGGCUAACUCCGUGCCAGCAGCCGCGGUAAUUC